AUGCUGUCAAUAUAAAAAGCAGCUUAGAGCAGACAAGGUGUAAAAGGUGCAACUAAUUAAAGAUCACUGAUGUUAUGUUGGAGGUAAAUGGUAGGUGAAAGGUUAAGUAAAAGAGGAACUAAGAGGAGGAGAGAUGACCAACGCCUCAGAGUUUGCUGAUUUGGAAACAGAUUGAACAACUUCAACUGUUGAAAGAAAAAGAUUGUGCAGGUAAAGGAUGUAGGUGACCUUUGAGCAACACCAGGACAUGAAAACAGACAUCAGGUCAUAAUGUCUCUAAGAUAAUGAUGGAUAUAAGAUCAUCUAUCCAAGCAGACAGCCAAUGAACAUCCAUAAGGUGGAAGCCCCUAUAAAAGGUGAGUGCAAAGGAGGAACCUUUGUUGGAUCCUCCAGGCAGCCGCGAGACAAGAUUGAGAUGGACAAAGAAUUCUUCAGCUGAAGAGCCGGGACCACAGAACCAAAGACUGUCCUGUGCAUGGGGACCAAACCAUCAGCCCCGCAACAUGUGGCUUCAAAUCGAGUUUCUCUCAUCAGCUGGGUUCAGACCGCAAAGACCAAGAUGAAGGCCAAGGCAAAGA